CACGUAGGAGACGAGCGUUGUCCGGAAUCAUUGGGCGUAAAGAGCGCGCAGGCGGCUUGGCAAGUCGGGUGUGAAAUCCCGGGGCUCAACCCCGUGACUGCAUCCGAUACUGUCAGGCUAGAGGUAGGUAGGGGAGAUCGGAAUUCCUGGUGUAGCGGUGAAAUGCGCAGAUAUCAGGAGGAACACCGGUGGCGAAGGCGGUUCUCUGGGCCUUACCUGACGCUGAGGAGCGAAAGCGUGGGGAGCAAACAGG
rnacentral:rRNA from 1 species